AGUUUGAUCAUGGCUCAGAUUGAACGCUGGCGGCAGGCCUAACACAUGCAAGUCGAGCGGUAGAGAGAAGCUUGCUUCUCUUGAGAGCGGCGGACGGGUGAGUAAUGCCUAGGAAUCUGCCUGGUAGUGGGGGAUAACGUUCGGAAACGGACGCUAAUACCGCAUACGUCCUACGGGAGAAAGCAGGGGACCUUCGGGCCUUGCGCUAUCAGAUGAGCCUAGGUCGGAUUAGCUAGUUGGUGAGGUAAUGGCUCACCAAGGCGACGAUCCGUAACUGGUCUGAGAGGAUGAUCAGUCACACUGGAACUGAGACACGGUCCAGACUCCUACGGGAGGCAGCAGUGGGGAAUAUUGGACAAUGGGCGAAAGCCUGAUCCAGCCAUGCCGCGUGUGUGAAGAAGGUCUUCGGAUUGUAAAGCACUUUAAGUUGGGAGGAAGGGUUGUAGAUUAAUACU
rnacentral:rRNA from 1 species